GAUGAAGAACGUAGCGAAAUGCGAUACGUAAUGUGAAUUGCAGAAUUCAGUGAAUCAUCGAAUCUUUGAACGCAUAUUGCGCUCUCUGGUAUUCCGGAGAGCAUGCUUGUUUGAGUAUCAGUAAACACCUCAACUUCCAUAUCUUUUUUGAAAUGGGAGUUGGACUUGAGUGAUCCCAACGCUUUUCCUCACCGAAAAGUGGCGGGUUACUUGAAAUGCAGGUGCAGCUGGACUUUUCUCUGAGCUAUAAGCAUAUCUAUUUAGUCUGCCUAAAAACAGAUUAUUACCUUUGCUGCAGCUAACAUAAAGGAGAUUAGUUCUUGUGCUGACUGAUGCAGGAUUCACAAAGACAGGCUUCGGCCGACUUUGUAAACUCGAUCUCAAAUCAAGUAAGACUACCCGCUGAACUUAAGCAUAUCAAUAACGGAGGA
rnacentral:misc_RNA from 1 species